rnacentral:rRNA from 1 species
AAUUUCGUGCCAGCCACCGCGGUUAUACGAAAGGCCCAAAAUAACGACAAACCGGCGUAAAAUGUGACUAGAGAUUCAUAAUAUUUUAAAUAUCAAAAUUCAUUUAGCCUAGUUGUAAAACACUCAGACAAUGGAGAAAAUCAACACAGAUAUUCUUAAUAUUAUAUUCUUGACCACACGAAAGCUUAGAAACAAACUAGGAUUAGAUACCCUACUAUGCUAAGCCCUAAACAUUGAAAGCUAUCUAUACUAUACUUUCCGCCAGAGAACUACGAGUGAAAAACUUAAAACUCAAAGGACUUGACGGUGUCCCAUAUCGGCCUAGAGGAGCCUGUCCUAUAAUCGAUACCCCCCGUUCCACCUAACCCCAACUAGCAAAACAUCAGCCUAUAUACCGCCGUCGACAGUUUACCCUAUGAAGGUCCAAUAGUAGACACAAUAGCCCUAACACUAAUACGUCAGGUCAAGGUGUAGCAAAUGCUGGGGAAGAGAUUGGCUACAUUUUUUAUGAUAAAAAACACGAAUUGCACCAUGAAAAAGUGCAUGAAGGUGAAUUUAGUAGUAAAACAGAUAAGAGUGCCUGUUUUAACAUCGCUCUGGGACGCGUACAC